AAUGCCGCUUCAUCGAUUCAAAGCCGGAUCGGGAAGCCUGCUAUGACCGUCAAGCCAAGGCGCUCGCCGCUAAAAAGGCGGAAGCUGAGGCAAAGCCAAAGCCGGUGGACUCUUUGGAGCGGAUGAAAGCGGAAGACGAAAUGCUGUCUCGCCGCCUGAGGAGCAUCUGCCGGGGAUGCUGAAGCAGGCCCCUGGAUGGUUGCAGGCCGGACGAUCGUCUUGGAGGC
rnacentral:misc_RNA from 1 species